GACGAACGCUGGCGGCGUGCUUAACACAUGCAAGUCGAACGAAGAGCGAUGGAAGCUUGCUUCUAUCAAUCUUAGUGGCGAACGGGUGAGUAACGCGUAAUCAACCUGCCCUUCAGAGGGGGACAACAGUUGGAAACGACUGCUAAUACCGCAUACGAUCUAAUCUCGGCAUCGAGGAUAGAUGAAAGGUGGCCUCUACAUGUAAGCUAUCACUGAAGGAGGGGAUUGCGUCUGAUUAGCUAGUUGGAGGGGUAACGGCCCACCAAGGCGAGGAUCAGUAGCCGGUCUGAGAGGAUGAACGGCCACAUUGGGACUGAGACACGGCCCAGACUCCUACGGGAGGCAGCAGUGGGGAACCUUCCGCAAUGGACGAAAGUCUGACGGAGCAACGCCGCGUGAGUGAUGACGGCCUUCGGGUUGUAAAGCUCUGUUAAUCGGGACGAAAGGCCUUCUUGCGAAUAGUGAGAAGGAUUGACGGUACCGGAAUAGAAAGCCACGGCUAACUACGUG
rnacentral:rRNA from 1 species